UUUUUUUUUUUUUUUUUGCUUUCUGUACUUAAAGCACGAAUGUUCUUCACAUGAAAAUACCAUAGUAAAUGAUGAAACCCAGAAGAAGCUUCGAAUUUAUGGUAAGGAAUGAUGCUUACCUUAGAGAGAAAAUAGAGAAGAGAUGUAACGGUGGAAUGAUCGAGUGAAGGAGGGAGAAAGUGUUCGUGUUUAUUUAGGAGUGAUUUUCAAAACUUAAAUGAACGGAUUUCCUCCUCAUUGUUAGCUACCGUAACUAAUUUAUGUAAACAUGUUUGACUGGGUAAGAAGUUUAAGAAAAAAUGAAUACUUUUAGAAUUUGUGAUCCUAAACAAGUCAAAAAGGGUCUAGAGUAUUUGUGUGGUUAUUAAAGCUUCUUAUUAAGGGUAGAAUUGGAAGUUUAAACUAAAUUGUUUUCAAAUUUAAAAAGGAAAUAUUAUUUUUUUAAACGGAUCAAAAAGAAAAUAUAUACAUAUAAACUGGAACAAAGAGAAUACUUAUUUAGGAGUGAUUUACGGAUGGUAUCUAAUUGGGAGACAUUCAAAAUUUAAGUGUACUCAUGAUUAUUUUUUUCUUUUUUUCAAUUUUUUUUAUUUGGUGGAAAAGUUAUUUAUCUAGUAAAGAAUUUCUUUAUUUACGCCAACUGUUUUUAUCAUUUGUAGAAAAUUAAUUUCUUUCACAAUUUAUAAAUACUUUAUAAAUAUUUUUAGAAAAUUAAGUUUGUUCAUCUGUUGAAUCUUUAUCUUUUCACUCUCUUCAAGAGUCUGUUUUUCAUUUAUUCUGAAUUCCAAGUACUGCCACAUAUUAAUGUAUCCAACGUUGUUUGUGUUUGUUCCAUUCAUACGUAAAAAUAUUACUCUCUCCCCUUUACAAUAAGUGAUUUAUUGGUCUAUUUUUUUGUGGUUCAAAAUAAGUAAUUUUUCUAAAUUUCAAGAAUGAAUUAAUUAUUUGUUUCCUACACUACCUUUGGAGUAAAUAAUGUUGGAAGAAUGUGUUAGGAGUGUUUAUAUGAAUAGAUGGUAAAUAUUAAUAUGGUCAAUUUCAUUACUAAUUAAUAUUAAAAAGUAAAUUUCUUAAUCUAUGUGAAAACAACAAAAAAAAAUUACUUAUUAUAAACCCGAAGGAGUAGUAUCUUUGUUCGUGAUAUGCAUGGUGGAAUAUUAGAAAACUUUUUGUUUCCAUAUUAUGGGAAGUGCUUAGGAAUAUUUCCCCUACUUUGGUCCUAGAAAAAGUAUAUAAUGCCGACGUUAAAAGUUAUGCUUGUGAUGUGUGAAACUUUAGUAAAGUGAAGAGUAAGAGCAAGAUAUAUGGAGUACUAAAUUACUUGAUGGUGGGGUUGCUGGGAAUCAAUAUUAGAAAUUCCUACAGCUAAGCCAAUAAGCCAUCUCAUCAAAAAUUCUAACACGUUUUAGCCAUCUAUAUGAUUCACGUUUGCUUGGCUAUUUUUUCUAAUUCAUCGGAUACUUUGCUACCUUCCGGCUGUUAGGUUUGGAGAACGGGGUUUCGUGAAUGGGUAUGAAUGAGAAAUAGAAGAGACAGCUUUUAAAUUGCACAAAUUCAUCUUACCUUUUUAUGUCUAUAAAUUUAGAGGCUUAGUUUUAUUUUUCAAAAAAAUAGAAAAUCUGAAAAUUUCUCCCAUUUUUUCUACAUUAUUGUAUUAAUUUUUUAAUUAAAUAUAAGUGUUAAGUGUGAUUUGCUCUGUUUGUUGAGUUCGCUGAAAUUCUGUAAUUUCGAUUGCUGGUAUUACAGAAUAGUUUUCCCGUUUUAUCCUGAGAGGAAGUAAUCCAUAAUCUUGGACAACAGUGAGAGGAUUAAAUUCCUUAAGGACACACAAGUAACUUGUGGGCUCGAAAAUUAUUUUAUGUUUAAUGUUUCGUCGCUUCUCUGAUUUUGAACACAUUUUACCAACAAAUUUAAGGAAUUUAACGAAUUAUUGUUUAUUUUUGAUUACUGGAUUUGCCUGGUACUCUCGUAUGGGAAAAGAAAGGGGGUGGGGGGGUUGGGGGGUGGGGAAUGUAGUACAGUAGAAGCGAAAUGAAUGAAUUCUUGGUUCUCAUCUUUUCUCACCAGUGCACUAGUAUGCCAUUAAUGGCCAAAGACAAUGUGUUCAAACGGUUUGCAAGAAAUCUUCGAACAGUCGUUACCAAUUACAAAUGUUUUCAUGGCUUACAAAUUUGGAACAAUGGAUUGAUUUCGUUCAUCCAUAGCUGACUUUGGGUUAUGAUUAAAGUGGAACAAAGUGUCCUAUUUAUUUCUACUAUGCAGUGAUUCAAAAGAAAGGCAACUUAAAUGAAAUAUUGGACCUUGAACGUGGCAUCAAAUUUUGAAUUGACUGGUUGGAUAAAAUCCAGUACCAUUUGAAUGCAGUUCCAGCGAUAUUUUCAUUUAAAUCAGGCAUCAGAUUGUUAUUGUUCAUACGAUUUGUAUCGUUUCGUAAAUAUCAAAGGAAUUGUAAGAGGAGCAAUUCUCACGGUACAUGAAGGUCUUUGUGGGACUAAUCAUGAGAAAGUGACAACUAUGCCGGGUUAUGCUUUCUUUACUUUACUCAUUAUUUUAAUUUUCUAUCCUUUGUGAUUCACGAAUUCAGUUUCUAAAAAUGAUAGGAUAGAUAAUUAUUUUAUGAUGAUCUCAAAAUAUAUUCUAUUUGCAUGGCAUAAAAUAUAUUAGUUGGUAUAUAAUUUGAUAGCAUGCAUAAAAUUAUGUGACAUUAUUUUUAAGAUUGUAAGACAUGAAUUAGGCUUACACUAAUACUUGAAAAUUAUUUUGAGAUCAUGAAGAUGAUAUUUUAUAUGUAUAUUAUUUUCGAUCAAUAUAUAUAUAUAUAUAUAUGUGUGUGUGUGUGUGUGUUGGUUUGAUAAGAAUAAUGACAAGAGUGGGCUGCUCUAGUGGUGAACACCCUCCACUUCCAAUCAAGAGGUUGUGAGUUCGAGUCAUCCCAAGAGCAAGGUGGAGAGUUCUUGGAGGGAGGGAGCCGAGGGUCUAUCAGAAACAGCCUCUCUACCCCAGGGUAGGGGUAAGGUCUGCUACACACUACCUCUCCAGAUCCCACUAGUGGAAUUAUACUGGGUUGUUGUUGUUGUUGUGGUUUGAUAAGAAUAAUAUAUCAAACGGUUAACAUGUUCGGGAGUUAUAAUGGUUUAGUUGGAAAGCCAUUUGAAAAAGAAAAUCAAAAUACUUGUGAUUUUCUACCCAUGUUUUGGAGAAAAUUAAAUUUUUCAGGAUUUUCUACUCCCGUUGUGGAGACCAAAAUCUUUGUGAUUUUCUACUCAAUCUUUGAGAUUAAAAUCGUCAUGACGUUCUAUUUAUUUUCGGAGAUUAAAGUGUGAGUGGCUUUCUACUAACUUCAGAGAUUAAAAACUAAGUGAUUUUCUACUCCAACUUUUUACUUGGUUUGAAGAGUAAAAACUUCAUCGUUUGACUAAUUCUGGUUGUGUCAAAUAUUACUCGGUUUGAAGAUUAAAAAAAAUCUCACCGUUUAUUAAAUCUAGUUGUGUCAGAUAUUGCUCGGUUUAGAGAUUAAAAACUUUACCGUUUAUUAAUUCUGGCUGUCGAGACACAAACAACAGUUCAUGUGCUUGGCUCUACAAAGUAAUAGGGGCGAUGACUAUGAAUCUCAUUUUAAAGAAAUAUGUUUGGAAUAUGGUAUUAUUCAUCCAACGACAGCCUCUUAGGCAUCGCAAUCUAAGGAAUUGUAGAAAAAAAUAAUAUAACGUUAAAGGAGAUGAUGAAUGCCUUGUUGAUAAGUUCUAGUUUACCCCAGAGCUUGUGGGGGGAAAGUUAUUAUUACAGUUAACCGAAUACUGAGUCGAGUUUCCCAUAGCAAGACGCAAUCCAUUCCAUAUGAAAAUAGAAUGGAAGGAAGCCCAACUUAAAUAUUUUAAAGUGUGGGGUGCUUAGCGAAAGUGCAAGUUCCUAAAAUCAAAAAGGUAAAGAUCAGACCGAAAAUUAUUGAUUGCGUUUUCAUAGGAUAUGCAACAAAUAGUAAGGCAUAUCAUUUUUUGGUUCAUAAAUCAGAAAAUUGACAUUCAUAUUAAUGUGUUAAUCGAAUUAGAUAAUUCUGAAUUCUAUGAGAAACUUUAUCCAUAUAAAAAAGGAAUGUGAGUUGUCUAGUAAAAUAUCUAAACGACCUCUCGAAGAAGCAAAGGAAAGUACACCUAAUGAGGUGAAUCCAAGACGUAGUAAACGUCAAAGGACAACUACUUCUAUUGGAUCAGAUUUUCUGACAUUCUUGUUGGAAAAUGAGCUUUAAACUUUGAAAGAAGUUAUGUCUUCCUCGGAAAGAAGCAAUCAAUAGCGAGAUAGAAUUCAUAUUAAAUAAUCAUACUUGGGAGUUAGUUGAUCUUACUCUAGGGAAUGAAUCAUUGGCUUACAAAUGAAUUUUCAAGAGAAAAAUAAAAAAUGAUGGCACUAUUGACAUGUAUAAGGCAAUACUUAUUGUCAAAGGAUAUAGACAACGAGAAGGCCUUGACUAUUUUAACACAUACUCGUCGAUUAUGAGUAUUACGUGCAUAUGGAUGUUAGUAGCAUUGGCUACAGUGUAAGGUCUUAAAAUCUAUCAAAUUGAUGUAAAGACAAAAUAAUAUUGUCAAAUGGCUUCAAAAUUAAUGAGUGUAAAUAAAUGUGUUUACGUUAAGAAUACUUCAAAUCAUAUAGUCAAUAUUGAUUAUAUGUGGAUGAUAUGUUGAUGAAAUAUUUAAAAUGUGGGGGCUUUUAGCUUAUGCAUGACAAAAGCCAAUGUUAGACGUAAUGUCUAAAUGAUAUAAUUUUUGAACCCCGCCAAUUUUUAGUGGAUAUUGAUAUGAUAGUCAGUGAAUUCAUUACUUGUUCAGUCUUAGUGAUGACUAGUGAUGACACUACAAAUUUGAAAGUUUUUUACGUGCCUUUCAGAAAUGAUUUGUUCAUUCUUGAACAUUUAUAAUGUUUAGCUCUUUUAUGAAAAGGGUGUCAUCUGGAAGGCUGUGAUUUUUCAUGAAAAGUGCAUUUGUAUGUUUUGUAUAAACAUGACCAUUCAUGAACGAAUGUAUUAAUACGCUAGUCUAUAUUGAGGUGAACCAAUCGAUUAACAUGACCAAAAUCCAUUGCAAGUUGGAUUUGUUUCAUUAAUGAAGGUGCUAUAAUUUGCAUAUCACAUAGACGUAUGAAUAAAUAGCAUACAAAUGCUUGAAAAUGGCUGAGUGAUUAUGAAAUGUGUUAUGUAUUAAAAGGUUGUGGCACAACUUAUGCCAAUCAUUCCAGUUGUUGUUAUAAUAUACUAUUGCAAUAGAAAGUCGAGACGUAUUAGUCUACGACACAAGGAAGUUUGCAUUGAACUAUCAUGACAAUAAAAAUAAGUUUUGGGAUAUUUAAAAUACAUCCAUGACUAUGCAUUUCACUAUAAUAAGUAUCAUAGGAGUAUUGAGGGGUAUAGUGAUGCAAAUUAGAUCACCGGAUCAACCUAAACUAAAUUCGCAAGUGGAUAUAUUUUUACAAUCAGUGGAGGAGCACUGUCUUGGAAAUCGUCCAAACAAAUAUGCAUUGCCGCUCUACAAUUGAGGGUGAAUUUAUAGCCUUAGACAAGGCCGGUGAAGAAGUUGAAUGACUUGAAGAAAUUCCAUCUUAGCCCAAAAUAUUGGCACAUAUAUGCAUACAUUGCGAUGGUCAAACGACAAUAGGAAGGGCUGGGAGCAUUAUGUAUAACGAAAAAUCUUGUCAUAUACGACGAAAACAUAAAACGGUUAGGCAACUACUCUCUAAGGAAAUUAUAAAAAUUGACUAUGUGAAGUCAAGCGUUAGUGUGUCGGAUCCAUUUACAAAAGGCCUAACUAGAGAGGUAGUUGAAAAAUCAUCGAUUAAAAUGGGACUAUGGCCAAGAACAAGUCAUUGUGGCAGUAACUCUACCUAGAAGACUGAAGAUCCCAAGAUCUAGGUUCAAGGAGCUCAAACAAAGUCAUUAAUGACAGUUCAAAAUUGUCAAAUAAUUUUUUUGGUCCAUUCUCAUGAUGAGACAAUGUUCAGUACCAAGGAUAAAGCGUUAAGGCUUUUUAAUGGUUUCUAAGUUAGAUACGGUGUAUAUCAAAUAGUGUAACUACGGGAUUACACGUUUAAGAAUUGCCUAUGUAAGUGUGAAGUGUUAGCCGCUUCAAGGAGAUUUCUGUAAAGAUAAUUAUCUAUGCACUUAUGAAACCAGGCGGUGUUCAUGGCUGAAACGAACAUAACAAUGAGAACCAAAGAUGGUUAAGGGUUGAUUGUAUGACUUAUGGUUAUCUAGGUAUACACCAAAUCUCGACGGUUUAAACAUAUCAAAUCUACCGAUUGACUAAGUAUAUCCGACAUAUGUUCACUACGUAAAGUUUAAAGGGAAACCUACUUAUCCAGAUUGACUAACCAAAGAUGUUUUGCAUGUUUUUUAAAACAUAUUGUCAUUCCCCAUUCAUGUGGUGGAUUAUUAGGUUUCGUGGAUGGGUGUGAAUGGGAAAUGGAAGAGGCACCUUUUGAAUUGCACUUCUUCAUCUCACCCUUUUUUUUAUCUAUAAAUUAGAGACUUGGCCUCAUUUUUCAAGAAAAUAGAAAAUCUGAAAAUUUCUCCCAUCUUCUCUACAUUAUUGUAUUAGUUUUUCAAAUAAACAUAAGUGUCAAGUGUGAUUUGCUCUGUUUGUUGAGUUUGCUGAAAUUCUGUAAUUUCGAUUGCCAGUAUUACCAAAUAAGUUUUUCGUUUUAUCCUGGGAGCAAGUAAUCCACAAAUUUAGGCUACAGUGAGGAGAUUAAAUUCCUUAAGGACACACAAGAAAUUUGUAGGCUCGGAAAUUAUUUUAUGUUUUGCUUCAUUGAACUAAUAUUUCGUCGCUUCUCUGAUUUCGAACAUAGUUUACCGACACCAACAACAUAGGCGUUAGGCAACUGUGUCCCCCAAGCUUUAAACAUAUGGAAAUCUUGUGCUUGACUAUGCCUUUGUUUACUCGUAAAAUAGUACAGUUGAAUUUAUACGUGGUUUCUAGACAAGUGAACUAAUUUGAUCCUGAAACAAUGCAAUAAUUGAAGAAAUGUACAAUACUUAGCCUUAAUAUGUAGAUGAAACAUCAUAGAUGACAGUUCCGGGAAUAAGGUUUCCAGGCACAAAAAUGAUGAGAUCAAAAAGCAAAAAAGUAAGAUUGUAUUAAGCUUUGUAUAGAAUGUGGUGUAAGUUUUGCCAGAAAAUUCGUGUCCUCUCAAAUGAUAACCCCGCUCACUGUUUAUAGUUGUGUCUAGGAAAGGAGUUCUUAGGAGCAUGCCCUCCUUAAUGUCAAUUAUGAGGGUCAUUAAUGAAGAUGUAACGGUGAAUAUUAUGCCAAAUUCUCUGUAACGGGCCGUCGCUCUUAAUGCUGUAGAAUAUUCCUUAUUAAACGCUACCGAGCGCAGAGCAUUUAAUACACCUUUAAGAACGUUAUCCCUCCCGGUGACAAGUGGAAUGGCUGUGUUCGGUCUUCGGCCAUCCCCGUCUAGGGUUCCACGUGUCUUUCCUUUAGAUGACCACAUGUCAUAUCAUAUUUCACCAUAUAAAGAUAGUCUCACUGCUCUUCGGUGACAUAACUUUGUGUUAUCGGGAAGUUGGUAGAAACACUCUUUUGGCGGGAUUUACUAGAACUCCCUCUGAAAGCUUCUGACGAUUGAUUAGACGCACGUCUCUCCGCAUUUAAUGCCCCGAACACGCGUUAUUCCACGAUUCAGCACAACUUUUGCCGAUUAUCGAGGUAAUCAUGCCAUGAAUUUAGCCGCCAAAUUUUUACUUAUACGCAUCAUUCUUUUCCUUUGCACUUCAUAAUUUCUUGAACUUCUGAUUUGCAUCUUUGUUCUCCAUCCUUUCUAUAAUUCUCUUCAAACAAAAACCUUUUCCUUUUUCUUAUUCAACGGCUUCUUCCUCCAAGCGUGCCUGUUCUUCAAAGAUUAAGAACAAAGUCAAGGACUCUGCUCCUCCAACGGUGGGUUCUAUCAUCCCAAGGAGACUCAGUACCACAAAGGACUUAGAAGAGAUAUUCCCUACUGAUAACCCUCGUACAUGGGCUGUUAGUAGGUACCCUUAUUCCAUUCAUCCUUCCAGUAUUCCUGCUGUGAAGGAAGACUAUCGCUGCCAUGAGUUGGAUAUCAUUGCUCCUGCUCUAUCGGAGAGAGUGACCCUUCCCAAGGAAGGUUUUACAUACUUUUACACGUAUCCCUUUACUUUGGGGGCGUUUUCUUUGAGUGGAGAGCUUGAUUCCGUGAUUGCGGAGUUUUACCUUCGCUACCAGGUGUGUUUGGCACAGGUAAGUCCUUCAGUGUGGAGGACGGUCGCAUGCCUUCGACGGUUGUGCCAGUAGACUGGAGAGGAGCUAACCUUAGCUCAUAUGAUGAGUCUUUAUUCUCCCAAAAUCUUUCGCGGGGGAAUGAUAAACCUUUGCAAGCGUGGCCACCAUGUUUUGCUGUCUACAUGGAUGAUGACAACGACCAUGGGUGGAUGGAACGGUUCAUUGCAGUCGCCACCAAUGACAUCAUUCCGUAAACGGUUUCAUCCUUUCUGGCCGCUUGGAACCGCACUCGUAAGCUCUUUGUUUAGUUUUUCCUUUUACUAAAUACUUUUCUAUAGUCGUAUUGAUCCUCCAUCCUUUGUUUGUUUCAGCAACUCGAUGGAUCCCACUGGUGAUGGAAGGCUUGGACAGGUGGGUUCAAAAGAUCUUGGACGUCACGACGCCCGAAACUCGUUUGUGGAAAGAACUAGCCCUUAAAUAUGGGUGGAAGGCCAAAAAUUAUGGUAAUUUUAACUUACCUUGCUUCCAUGUUUUUUUUGUAUAAGGAGAACUUGGUUGAACCCAUCUGACUUGUUCACAAAAUUAGGUCUACUUGCGGGCUCCAUUGUUGUCCCCGAGGAGGAUGUCUUGGAGGAUCUUGCUGAGAGCUGAUAAGUGGAGAUUUUGACUACUUAUUGUCAUGCCCCGAACUCGGGGGGGCGCGACCGGCGCUUAACCGAGUGAACCCGGCCGAGCAAGCCUGUUAUAUUUCCUUCUACCCAAACUCAUCCAUGAAUAAAGAGGAGAUGCACUUCAUUAAUCAAAUACUGAAAAGAUUUCAUUAACAACUCCCAUUUAAUUUCCAUUAGCAGCUUCCUUCAUAAUUUCCAAAAUAUUACAAGUUUAUAGAUAUAAUGAAAAAUAUGUCUUCCAAAUACCAACACUUCUAGUUCAAUUCCCAACAACAAACACCACCCACAACCUGUCUACGGAGCCUCUAAGUACAAUAGAAGAGUAAGAUGGAAGUGCCGGCAACAAGGCCCCGGCUAUACCUCAAAAUAAAAAGUACAACAUCAAAUGAUAUCAGGCCUAGAAUAGAGUAGGGCUCACCAAAACCUGCUGAAUAGGGAGUAACUGCUAACGAGGACCAAAGUUCCCCGCUGAUGAACCACCUGCAUCCAUUGAAGAUGCAGCACCUCGGCAAAAAAGGACGUUAGUACAUAUGGAAUAGUACUAGUAUGUAAAGCUAACUGUCCUCUUUCAAAAUAGAAUGCCAAUGUAAGAAAGGGAAAAACGUAGAAACAGCAAGUCACAAUCAAUGAUAUCUAAAUGCCAAGUUAAAACAUAAUAAUUUUCAAAAUACGAAGAUAAUAUUAUUUUUGGUUAGGAGAUCUUUAGCACCGAUAUACCACUAUUCACAAUACCACCGUACUUUUAUCACGGAGUCCGAUCACGACCCGACCGGCUAGGCCGUCUCAUCCGAGACAUCAACCAUAGUCACAAUCUUGAUCAUAAUUUCAAUUGCAAUUUCCAGCAUAAUUACCGCCAUGUGUGCCGCAUGGCGUCCGAUCACGACCCCCGAUCGGCUAGGCCAUCUCAUCACAAAGGCGUAUGGAUUGGCAUCAUCCUCUUCUAUCAAUCAUCUCAUCCCAAUUAAGGGGAAUAAUGUUAUCAUAUCAAUCUCAUCCCAAAUAAGGUAAAUGAUCACAAUCCACUCCUACACCGGCACAUGUAGUUUCAGGAUUAGGUUAUUUCAACCUACCCUUCCUCGGUGACUAUCGAUACUCCCAAAAACAUUUUUUAUUUGCAUACAAAGGAAACAGCAAUACAACUGCAUUUACCUCAUAACCUUUCACACCAUUUAUAGCUUCAUUGGCAUUUCCAUCCACUUACAACAUCAUUAUUUCAUUGGCUCUCUUGGCCAUACAUAUGAUUCUUCAUUCAUGGAACAAUGGCUGUAUUUCAUAUUCCACAUUUUUAUUUCUUUCCUUUCAUGGAUCAUCAUCAUAAAUAUCAACAUAUAUAAUAUUCCGAAAAUCACAAUUUUAAGUUCAUUAGAAAUGAAGAAUUUAAGCACAAUAGAUUCCUUUCCAAGAAAUUGAGUAAAAUGAUCGGCAAUCGAUGCGCANNNNNNNNNNNNNNNNNNNNNNNNNGAAGAUCUAUGUAUUUUAUGAAGGAAUUGAUGGAAUGAAACACAAAGUUAGUAGGGAUUACUCACCUUGAAGAUGGGGGCAGUUGGAGGUCUUGAGAGAGUGGAGGAAAACCCCAAAAUUCGGCCAAGAGAAAUGGGGUAAAAUGAACCCUAAAUGAGUAUAUAGUGUUUGGGGCACCACAUAUAGCGUGGGGAUCUGCCUGUGGCGCUGGUUCCAGAACCUCAAGAUUCCCAGCACCAGGGAUAGCGCCCCACGCUACCCUGGGCACUGGCGAUGGGAAAUCAUUUCUAUUUCUCCCGAAAAUUGGCAUAACUCUCUCAUACGAUGUCCGAAUUUGACGAUUCUUUUUGUUAUGGCUCCGUAAUUUCCAUACGGAUCUAAUGCUUUAAUCAAAACUGAAUUUGGAGCUCAUUUGCUUAAUGUGAUACCACUUAUGCUUGAAGAAACGACGACGAAACAUCCUAGAAAUAUCCAAAUUAAAUUACGGACAUAUGCCCGAGUACAAAAUCAUCAUCCGGACCUAACGGAAUUGUCAAACCUCUGAUCCAAGGUCGAAUACAAAAAAAUUAAACUUGAUCAUAAUACAUCAUUUGAAGCUACUUAAUACUUCAAAUAGUUGAGAGGAGAGUAAAUGUUCAAAACAACAAGUCGGGUCGUUACACUUAUUAGCGUCUUUUAGCUUUUAUUUUAGUCUAAAAGCAUUGAAUUACAUUUCCGAAACUAAUGAAAUGUAAAAAAUUACAGGAAUGCGGGAAGUUAGACUCCUGAGAUGCAAUCCGGCUCAAAGAGGAGAAGUCCAAGCACAAGGCAACAAAAGGGCACAGAAGCAUACAAAGUGCGGUCCGCAGAAGUAAUUCUGUGGCCGCAGAAGCAAUUGCGGAUCACAGAAUUCCACCUGCAGUCUCAAACAAAGAAGCAAAAUUCAGAAGAUAUUUGUGCGAAUUGCGGACCGCACAUGAAUUGUGCGGCUGCAAGAGCUGAGCUAGGACUCAAGUUCAGAGAGUGUGCAAAUUUCCAAGUCCCAAGUCCCUGUGAAUUGCUGACCGCACAAGAAUUGUGCGGUCGCAGACAUAAAUGUUCAGACCGCAGAAGACUGGAUUGCGACCGCAGACAUAAUUAGUAGACCGCAAAAAUGUUGCCUCGCGGCCGCAACUCAUAAUUGUACGGCCGUAGAAUCCCAGCCCCUGCCAGAUGAAGAAGUCUAUGGACUACACAUGGAAUUGUGCGGCCGCAGAACCUCCCGAGGGAAAAUUUUUGUUCGAGAUUUUCAGAUUUAUAUAAAUAGAAGAGUUUCACGAAAUUAGGUCAAGUUUUGACAUCAGCAAUUACCGUAGCCGUUUUUCUUUGCCUCUUUUGGAAGUUUACUAUAUUUUGGUGUAUUUUACAAUAGAUUUGAUUAUUUUAAGCUUACAUUAUAAGUUUAAUUAGUCUUUCUUCUUUUUCUUUUUCAAACCCAAGCAUGAGUAGCUAGAUUUUUACUAGGGUUGUGACUGAACCCUAGUGUGUUAACCUUAUGGGUAAUUAAAUUAGUGAUUGUUUAUGAUUUGGUAUAUGUUAUUUAGCCUAGUUCAUGCUUUAAUUUGUGGAAUUAAUGGUUGCAAACAUUAGUUCAUGUCUAUUUGACUUAGUCUAUAAUUGAGAAAGAGAGACUUAGUCUGGAAAAACUUGGGUAACAAGGAAUUGGGUCAAUCGAGAGAUUGAUUAACCCAAUUAAAGGGUUCAACCUAGAAAUAGUAAUAACCCGACUUGAGCUUUUAUCAACUUUUGUGUGAUACCCAUUUGGUCUUGAGAAAGCCAAAUUGGGCAAAACCACUCUCUGACCGAGAGGUAUUGAGUGGGUAAUUGAGAGUUGAUAGCUAUAACACACCUCGUCCAACAAAAUAAGCAUUAAGAUCUUUAUCCCAUUAGGCAAACUCCUAGGUAAUGGUCACAACUCUAGGCUUUUUAUCAAUUUGAAAAACCCCCAAAAACAAUCAUCUCUAGUUUUCUUUCUUUAAUUUGCAAUCAAUAGAGUAAAAAUUAGAAAUAGAAAAUCAAUCUUUUGUGGAAGUGAAAUCUUGAUAAUUCAAUCACGCGCAUUAAGAUAUAUACCCCUAACUCCCAUUCUUAGCUCCCUAUGGAUUCGACCCCGACUCUUAGUUGGAUUUUAUUAUUGCAAAUGACCGUUUCAUACCUCUUUUUAGGUGUGCUAUUGGACGCGAUCAAUUUUUUGCGCCGUUGCCGGGGAGUUUAAAACGGUGUUAGCUAUAUAUUUGGGUGUGUUUUUAAAGUAUCUUAUUUUCCUUCCGUGUUACUAAUUUGUUUGAGAAAUCGUAGGUACAACCAUGGCAAACAAAGAGCUCGGAAAUAUUGCUUUGGGGGAUGUAGACAUUGAGGAUGACCAAGUGGAUGAGGUUCCUCUUGAACCUCAAGCCAAUAGAAGAGGUCGAGUGGCUUAUGACAAUGUGCCCUUCCCACCCCCACCUCCACCACGAGCGGCUCCACACCGGGUGUUACCUAAUGAAGGAUAUGCAAGUGCAAUAGUCCUUUCCCGUAUUUGGGCAGGCAACUUUCAAAUCACCAACAUGAUGUUCACUUUGCUAGAGCAACGAGGUUUCUUCAUCGGUGCUCCAAGGCAAAAUGCAUACAAACAUUUGAAGUGAUUUGUGGAUACGUGUUGGGGGAGCAAGCAAAUAAAUGUCUCUGUGGAUGCUUUGAGGCUAAGGAUUUUUCCCUUCUAUCUACAGGGGAAAGCCUUAGAUUGGUUGGAAUGUUUGCCGAACCAUUCCAUUCACACUUGGGAUGAAUUGGUGGAAAAGAUUAUUUCUAAGUUCCUCUCUCCGGGGCACAUGGCUACACUUCGGGAUGAGAUUCUAGCAUUCAAGAAAGAGCCCAAUGAACCACAACACGAGAUAUGGGAGUGAUAUAGAACAAUGGUCAAGGAAUAUCCCAACAACGAUAUGACGGAAAAUAUGAUUCGACAAACCUUCUAUCGUGAGAUUAACACGACCAACCAAUGUGUGGUGAAUCAACUUGCCAGUGGAAAUUUUAUGACUACGCCUUAUGCGGAGGCGUGUGAGAUUUUAGAUGAAAUGGCGGAAACAUCAUCGGCGUGGCAAUCCUGGGCUAAUGUUCCACAAGGUGAUCCCAACGUGAUUCACCUCCACAAAGAGUUGCAUGACCAUGGGCAAUCCAUAGAAGAAUUGACUACCACCAUGAAUCAACUAGCAAAGGCUCAACUUCAACAAGUGCAACAUCCCAGGCAAGUCAAUGCCAUGGAGGGAGUAAACAUGAUGGUGAACAACCGAAAAACCAAGGGUCCACAAGAGCAACAACGAGUGGACAAUUUUGUACAAGAAGAUAGUGGGUUUGAUCAAGAUGAUUAUUACAAUGAACAAGAGGAGGAUGUGCUGCAAUAUGUGAACAACUUUAAAGGGCAAUAAAAUAAUUUCCAAGGCCCAAAUCAACAACAAUGGCGACCUCAAAAUAAUCAAGACAAUUGGAAUUCUACCAACCAAGGUAAUUGGAGUGGUGGAAACAAUCAAGGGAAUUGGCAUAAUAACAAUCAAAGAAAUUGGAAUGGUAAUAAUCAAGAAAAUUGGAUAGGUAAAAAUCAAGGCGGAUAGAACAAUAACCAAGGCAAACGGGGGUCGGGUUUUCAAAGGCCCCCGAUGUAUCAACAACCGAGCAACCCGUCUCCUUAUCCUUCCCAUGGUCCUAGUUCUUCCAAUAAUGAAAUGGGGCGUAUUGAGAACAUGUUCAAGCAAAUGAUGGAAAAGAAUGUCGAUUCGGAUGCCCAACUUGCCUCACCCAACACAUUGAUCGGCAAUUUAGAGGUGCAAAUAAGGCAAAUCUCUCAAGCUCUCAAUUCUCGUCCUAAGGGGGCACUACCAAGUGACACGGUGGUGAACCCAAAGGGUGGGAACAACAUGGGGCAUUCCAUAGCCGUGACUACAAAAAGCGGAAAAAGUGGGAAUUCACCCACCUCAAUUCAAAGGCAACUUGUGGAUGAUGAGCAAGUGGUACAAGAAGAAGAGGUCCCAAAUGAUGUGGUGCAAACAAAUGAUGAGAUUUAGAUUGCUAUUGAUGAUAAUGUGGAAGUGACUCAAGAGAAUGUGAACCCUUCUAGGGAUCACGUUAUUGACAUACUGGAACCGGUAGUGUAAAAGGCUAAGGCACCAUUGCCUAAGACUCCGCCUCCAUAUCCUCAAAGGCUCGCCAAGCAAAAUGGCGAGAAUCAAUUCAAAAUGUUCAUUCAAAUGAUGAAGAGUCUCUCAAUCAAUGUGCCAUUAGUUGAGGCUUUAGAACAAAUGCAUGGUUAUGCAAAGUUUAUGAAGGAUCUUGUGACAAAGAAGCGGUCAAUGAAUUUUGAAACUAUCAAGGUCACUCAUAAAGUGAGUGCAAUUGUGCUUUCAAUGACUCCUAAAUUGGAAGAUCCCGAUGCGUUCAAGAUUUCUUGUACAAUUGGAAGAGCUGAGUUUGCUAAAGCUCUUUGUGAUCUCGAUGCAAGUAUCAAUUUGAUGACCCUAUUCGAUUUUCAAGACCUAGGGAAUUGGGCAACCAAGACCCACAUCUAUGAGAUUGCAAAUGGCUGAUCGUACAAUGAAGAGACCGUUGGGAGUGAUUGAAGAUGUAUUGGUUCGUGUUGAUAAAUUCAUUCUUUCAGCGGAUUUUGUCAUUCUUGAUUGUGAAGUGGAUUAUGAGGUGUCGAUUAUUCUUGAAAGACCUUUCCUUGCUACGGGGAAGGCUCUUUAUGAUGUGGAGGCCGGAGAACUCACCUUCCGGGUGGGUGAUGAAAAAGUGGUAUUCCAUGUGUGCAAAUCCAUAUGGAAACCAAAUAGCAACGAGGUGUGUUCUUUUGUGGACUUGGUGAUCGAUGUUAUUGUUGAUGAUACAAGUGCCACAAUCAAUGUUGGUGAUAUGUUGGAGGCCGUCUUGCUCAAUUUUUAUGAUGACGAGAUGGAUGUCUUCAUGGAAUGUGUGAACUCUUUGCAAGGAAUGGGGUCGUACAAUUAUGCACCUCGAAAACUAUCUUUGGACCUUGAAAAUAGGAAAAAUCCUCCUACAAAGCCUUCCAUUGAAGAGCCUCCUACCGUGGAGUUGAAGCCAUUGCCUCCACAUCUUCGGUAUGAAUUUCUUGGCCCUUGUUAUACUUUGUCGGUUAUUCUUUCUUCUUGUUUGACUAAUAUCCAGGUAGAUUCUACAUUGACGGUGCUACAUAAGAGGAAGAAGGCCAUUGGGUGGACACUGGCGGAUAUUCGGGGAAUACGCCCCGUAUUUUGCAUGCACAAGAUCAACUUGGAGGAAGACGCCAAACCAUUUAUUGAACAUCAAAGGAGACUCAAUGAGGCUAUGCAAGAGGUUGUAAAAAGGAGAUCAUCAAGUGGUUGGAUGCCGGGGUUGUUUACCCCAUUUUCGAUAGUUCGUGGACUUCUCUAGUUCAAUCUUUCCCAAAAAAAGGGGCCAUGACGGUGGUCACUAAUGACAAGAAUGAGUUUAUUCCUACAAGAAUGGUGACCGGUUGGAGAGUGUGUAUGGACUAUCGCAAGCUCAACAAAGUCACAGGGAAGGUUCAUUUUCCACUUCUCUUCCUUGACCAAAUGCUUGAUAGGUUAGCCGGCCGUACUUUCUGUUGCGUUCUUGAUGGAUAUUCGGGCUAUAACCAAAUCCUUAUUGCUCCAGAGGAUCAAGAGAAAACAACCUUUACAUGUCCCUAUGGUACUUUCGCCUUCAAGCGGAUGCCAUUUGGUUUAUGUAAUGCACCGGCAACUUUUCAUAGGUAUAUGAUGGCUAUCUUCACGGACAUGGUGGAGGACUACCUUGAAGUUUUCAUGGAUGACUUCUCGGUGGUUAGGGAUUCCUUUGAUGAUUGUCUUGAAAAUUUGGAUAAAGUGUUGGCAAGGUGUGAAGAAAUGAAUUUGGUGCUAAAUUAGGAGAAAUGUCAUUUCAUGGACGAGAAAGGCAUUGUCCUUGGCCACAAGAUCUCAAAGAAUGGAAUUGAAGUUGACAAGGCAAAGAUUGAGGUGAUUUCUAAACUUUCACCUCCAAUGUCGGUGAAAGGUAUGCGGAGUUUCUUAGGCCACGCAGGGUUUUACUGGCGCUUCAUCAAAGAUUUCUCUAAAAUUAUGAACCCUUUGUGCAAACUUCUUGAGAAAGAUGCAAAGUUUAACUUCAACGAUGAUUUCAUGAGAGCCUUUGAAUUGUUAAAGUUCAAGUUGACAACUACCCACAUCAUCAUCGCUCCAAAUUGGAGUGUCCCCUUUGAACUCAUGUGUGAUGCUAGUGACGUAGCGGUUGGAGCUAUUUUGGGGCAACACAUCAACAAGAUAUUGCAUCUGGUCUACUAUGCUAGUAAGACCAUAAAUGGUGCCCAAGUCAACUAUACCGUUACGGAGAAAGAGCUCAUUUCCAUUGUGUUUUCCUUUGAGAAGUUCCGCCUGUACUUGAUGGGUGCAAAAUUUAUUGUCCACACGGAUCAUGUGGCACUUCGUUAUCUUAUGAGCAAGGAAGAUUCCAAAGCUCGGUUGAUGAGAUGGGUGCUUUUGUUGCAAGAGUUUGAUAUUGACAUCCAAGAUAGAAAAGGGAGUGAAAAUCAAGUGGCGGACCACUUGUCUCGUUUGGAGGAGGAGGGGANNNNNNNNNNNNNNNNNNNNNNNNNAUCAAUGACUCCUUCCCCGAUGAGCAACUCUUGGCUAUUUCAAUGAAGGAGGUGUCAUGGUUCGCGGAUCUAGAAAAUUUCCUUAUGUGUGGAAUCAUCUCGGGUGAGUUCUCUUCAAACCAAAGAAAGAAGUGCAAACGGGAUUGUCAAUAGUAUUAUAGGGAUGAACCAUACCUUUUCCAGAUUUACACGGAUGGGAUGAUUAGAAGAUGUGUACCGGAAGAAGAACAAGGUUAAAUUCUUGGAGCUUGUCAUUCUUCGCCGUAUGGUGGUCACCAUGGUGGGGCAAGAACAGCGGCCAAAGUUUUAAGUUGCGGUCUCUAUUGGCCCACUCUUUACAAGGAUGCAAGUGAUGUAGUGAAAAGAUGUGAUGAAUGUCAACGGGCCGGUGGAAUCUCGAAGAAGAAUGAAUUGCCUCUCACUACCAUUUUGGAGAUUGAUAUCUUUGAUGUGUGGGGUGGUCCUUUUGUGAGUUCUUGUGGAAACACCUACAUCUUGGUCGCAUUUGAUUAUAUGUCUAAAUGAGUUGAGGCCAUUUCUCUACCCAACAAUGAGGCGAGAAGUGUGGUGGUGUUCUUAAAGAAGAAUAUUUCCACAAGGUUUGGUACUCCGAGGGCUAUCAUAAGCGAUGAGGGGUCGCAUUUUUGCAAAAAGACUUUUGACACUUUACUUAGCAUGUAUUGUGUUACUCAUAAAGUCACGACUCCUUAUCAUCCACAAGAAAGCGGUCAAGUGGAAGUCUCCAACUGGGAGAUAAAGAGUAUUUUGUCCAAAAUAGUGAAUGCUAAUCGGACGGAUUGGUCCAACAAGCUUGAGGAUACAUUAUGGGCUUAUCGUACGGCUUACAAAACACCUAUCGGAAUGUCGCCAUCCCGGUUGGGGUUCGGAAAAGCUUGUCAUCUUCCGGUGGAACUUGAGCACAAAGCCAUGUGGGCUCUAAAGAAGUUGAAUCUUGAUUGGGAUGUAGCUGCUAACUUGAGGGUUGCACAUUUGAAUGAAAUGGAUGAGUUCUGCUAUCAUGCUUAUGCAAGUUCGCCCUUGUACAAAGAAAAGAUGAAAUAUCUUCAUGACAAAUACAUUUGGAACAAAGAGUUCAAGGUGGGUGAUCUUGUAUUGUUGUUCAACUCAUGGUUGAGGAUGUUUCCCAGAAAGCUAAAGUCUAAAUCGAGUGGUCAUUUAGAAAUUAUGGGUAUGACACAUUUUGGUGCAUUGGACUUGAAGAACAAAAACAAUGAGGUAUUCCGAGUCAAUGGUCACCGGGUGAAGCACUAUUUGGAAAAAGUUGGAGAUGGCCACGUCGUGGCAGUGAUUCAUUUCAACUGAUAGUAGUAUGCAUCGUGUCGCGACGUUAAAUCAGGCGCUUCUUGGGAGGAAACCCAUGUUUCUUUUUCUUUUCUUUGUUUCUUUUGCAGUUAGGUGUUAUUUUUAUGCUAACUUGAUUUGAAGUAUACUGCAGGGAUGAGUGUGCUUUACAGGAAUUGUGGAUAGAAAUUUGGUUUUAAGUGUUGAAAGAAUUGCGAACCGCAGUUGCAUUGUGCGGGCCGCACAAUUAUGAUUGAUGCAGCAAAAUUGUAUUGCGGCCGCACAAUUAACCUGCGGACCGCACAACUGGAAGAUGAAAAAUGACAACUCUCUGAAGUUGGUCCGUCAGAAAAAUGGCUUAUCUGUGGCCGUAACACACAAUCUUCGGUCCGCACAUUUGAUCUGCGGUCGCACACAAAAAUUUACGGACCGCAAAAUAAAAUAGCAUUUAAGCCCCCAGGUUGUUGAGUGCGGACUGCAAUUGGAAUUCUACGGCUGCACUCGCUUCUCCUUCCCUUGUCAAAAAUCAAUAGGUAUAAAUAGAGGGGCUAGGGCCACUGUUCUCCUUUUCCCUCUUUGAGCACACAACGGGUAUUUUUUUGAAAUCUCUUGUUAAAUCAUCUACCCACACGUCUACAACUGUUGAUCACUCAUUUCUUCACACUCAUUCAUUUGGUAUGUUUCACAAUCUUGUUAAUCUUUUUCAUUUAACUUUUAGAUUUUUAGUAAAAUUUUAGGCCAUUUGUUUGUUGAAUUUGAUUGUACAUACUUGUGGGGGUAAAUAUGUAGUGGGUCAACUAGUACUUGUUAAUUGGGAACUCGGUAAAUGUAUUUUCAUGAUUUGAUGUUGUUUCCAUGUCAAAAUUUGUGCAAAAAAUUGCAUGCCCUAGAUAAAAUUGUCGAACUGUUCGUAAUUGUUGGAAUCUGCGGCCGCACAAGAAAUUGUGUGGUCCGCAGAAGUUGAUUCUAAGUAAGUUUAAUUAAGGAUGAGUCUACGUCCUCAAGGAAAAUUGUGCCGACUGUAGAAUUUCCAUUGCGACCGCAAAAACAUCUCUUUUCCUGUCUUCAAAGAAGGGUGAUAUUUGUGAUUUAAUGUGCAGCUGCAAGACAAAAUGUGUAGUCCGCAAAAAAUAUGUUGCGGUCGCAAAACAACCAAUUCUUUGUUAUCAGAGAGUUGGCAUAUUUGUGGUAUCUGUGUUGCGGCCGCAAGACAAAAUGUGCGGACCGUAAUCCAAAUCUGCGGCCGCAAAAGAAAAUUGUGCGGUCCGCAAGGCCCUUUAUGCGGCCGCAAUGAGAAAUGUGCGGACCGCAAAUCCCUACCCUGCAAGCAUGUUUCAACUGUGUUCCUCACUGUAUUUUCUGGUGUGUCCUUACAUUCAUUGUAUGUCUGAACUUGAAUUGUAGCUAACAAUCGCCUUUGCUUGGUACAGAAAAUGGUUCGAUCUAGAGAAAGAGGCGACACUUCGAAAGGAAGGGGUGACCCUUCUCGGGGAUGAGCUAAGAGACCCUUACCUAGUGCCCAGCAGCAUGAAAUCAGAAAGUAAAUAGCAGCCGGGAGAGGUGCAGACCUUUCCGAGACCAGUUCUUAUAUCCCAUUUAGGGAAGCAUCACAGGGAAACUCAGCCUUUGUACAUGAGCAGACGACUGUCCCGUCAAGGUCGCCAGGGAGGUAUCAACUCAAGGACGAGAUGUCAUCAUCACACAGCACUUUCGAGGGUUCGAAAAGUGCUAGUCAGGCUUCUGAGCCUUCCACUACACUUGUCCCUGAGGCACCAGAGACAUCAGUUCAGGACAUCCCCGAUGAUGGGAGGGGGAGAUGCUACAAUUGCCAGACUAGAAAGGUCGAAGAAGAAAGAGGUAUGGGAAGACAGGUUUGUCAGCUUGGCAAUUUUCUCGAGCUUCCGUGAUUGGUGGCCAAUGAGGUCGCUCACUCCUGAGCGACGGUUUCAGUAGAACGAUCUGGAGAAGUAUAACCCUGCAGUAUUGAUACAGUUUAAAGAAUGCAAAGGGUUGAUGUGGUUUACCUAGAGCGUGGUGGAUGCUAAGGAGUACCUUGUCCAGGAAUUCUACGCCAAUGUGGUACAUAUCAAGAAAGGGACAAAGAUGACGAAAGUGAGAAACCUCAAAGUGCGAUUUGAUCAGCACACAUUGAACACAUACUUGGGAUUUGAUGAUAUCGAGCCCAUAGAGUACUUAGAGAAAUGUGCACUUGGGGAUGCAGCUCGUCCUUGGCUAGCAGAGAUUAUAGCAGGUUCUGAACUACCACCACUGAUCACAAUAGGGGUUUCUAUUCACGGGAGUACUCUGAUCUUUGAAGCAAAGGGGUGGCAGACCUUUGUAUGCAGCAGACUGGACCCAUGCUAGAAUGAGACCUAUCUCCCGAUCCCUCGGGCAAUUCUAGUUGCGUCCAUCAUGGCCGAGUACUCUAGCAAUGUGGGAGCCGUGAUGUCGGCCAACAUCUCUGUGAUCUCUCGGCAAGCUGACACAUCCUACCUGUAUCCCAACACUAUUACAGAAUAUCUUACGGAUGCGAGGGUAGAGCCGAGGGACUUUGAUACAAAGGUGUGGCCGAAGAAACCUUUCACAUGGUACUCACGGAUGGAUGCACACAACCCUAAGAAAAAGGGUCAGUAGUCUAUCACCACAUGCCAGUUUGAUGAGCCAUCGGUGGUAGUUAUAGAGGCAGUUGAUAUUCCAUCCAUUUCGGCCUAGCAUUCAUCUAGUGCCACAGCUAUGCCUCUACCACCAUCUUCAGUUCCCAUUACAGUUCCUGCCACAGGUUCCACCUCGGCUUUGAAGCCGGUGCCCAUGCCUACUGCUUCACUUUCUGCGCUGCGAGUCUCCCAGACAUUGGCAAGCCUCAACUACUGGAUGCAGACAGCCACUGCAAAGUUUUCUAACUUAUCCAGUGCUAUUGCAAUGCAGUCUUCUAUUCCGGCACCUCAGAUGCCCCCAUCAACGGAAGAAAUAUUGAAGAAGCUCCUGAAACACCAGAACACCAUCAUGGCUACAUUGGUACAACAUGGGUCAGUGAUCGAAGAUUUGGGAAAAGAAGUAAAGAAGCUGAGAAAGUCCCAAGCCUCCAAGAAGUCAGUGGACAAGCUUCGGAGACAGGUUACCAAGUUUUCUGCAUCCGGAGGUAUUCCAUUUGACAUGCUGAUUGACCCACACCACCCAGGCCCAGAUCCUACAGCACCAACAACACCGGUGGCACCAGCUGGCCAGUCUGAGGAGCCAGACUCUGCUGCUGACACUGGAGAGGCAGUGCGUCAGAUGUUCACCAACCCAGUCACUCCCAGAGUUGAGGAUGAUGAGAUCCUGUUGGAAGAGACUGAGGGUGGUGACAUUGCUGGGGACACAGAGAUGUCCAAGGAGCCAUAGGGAGUCUUCUUCACUCUUUCCCUUCAUUUACUCUUAUUUUGUUAAGCAUUGGGGACAAUGCUUAAUUUUAUUCAGUGGGUGAAGUUUAUUUGAUCUUAUUUGAUGAUUCUGAGAUAUUUGUCUUGUAAUAACUUGAUACUAUUUUCUUCUUCUUCUCUCAUUAUGUAUAUAUCUUCUCUUUCUCCCUCAUUAUGUAUAUUCGAUAUAAUUUCGAUCGUUUUUACUUUGUAGCUUCUUUAUGUUUGUUUUCUUAUUAGUUAGUGUUUAUUUUAGUAGCUUCUUUUUAUGUUUUAGUAGAUAAUAAGCCUUAGGUUUUCUUAAUGCCAUGGUUCUUUCCAAAGGUAGUUUUUCUGUGAACCGGGUGACUCUUCCCAACGAUGGAUGGUGUGACAACCUUCUUAAGGGACUGAGUCUGUUUUUGGUCUUUAGGUAAUAAUAGUAGUAGUAAUGAAUAAAAAGACCUAAUUAAGUCAUGCUCGAAGAGUCAAACAUGCUUCAUUUGGCACCAACACACUUAACUACGUGCUUAUGGUUAGAAACAAGGUUUUUGGAAGAAAUAGCUCUAGUUAGUGACUUUGUGACUCUUGUGUNNNNNNNNNNNNNNNNNNNNNNNNNNNNNNNNNNNNNNNNNNNNNNNNNNNNNNNNNNNNNNNNNNNNNNNNNNNNNNNNNNNNNNNNNNNNNNNNNNNNNNNNNNNNNNNNNNNNNNNNNNNNNNNNNNNNNNNNNNNNNNNNNNNNNNNNNNNNNNNNNNNNNNNNNNNNNNNNNNNNNNNNNNNNNNNNNNNNNNNNNNNNNNNNNNNNNNNNNNNNNNNNNNNNNNNNNNNNNNNNNNNNNNNNNNNNNNNNNNNNNNNNNNNNNNNNNNNNNNNNNNNNNNNNNNNNNNNNNNNNNNNNNNNNNNNNNNNNNNNNNNNNNNNNNNNNNNNNNNNNNNNNNNNNNNNNNNNNNNNNNNNNNNNNNNNNNNNNNNNNNNNNNNNNNNNNNNNNNNNNNNNNNNNNNNNNNNNNNNNNNNNNNNNNNNNNNNNNNNNNNNNNNNNNNNNNNNNNNNNNNNNNNNNNNNNNNNNNNNNNNNNNNNNNNNNNNNNNNNNNNNNNNNNNNNNNNNNNNNNNNNNNNNNNNNNNNNNNNNNNNNNNNNNNNNNNNNNNNNNNNNNNNNNNNNNNNNNNNNNNNNNNNNNNNNNNNNNNNNNNNNNNNNNNNNNNNNNNNNNNNNNNNNNNNNNNNNNNNNNNNNNNNNNNNNNNNNNNNNNNNNNNNNNNNNNNNNNNNNNNNNNNNNNNNNNNNNNNNNNNNNNNNNNNNNNNNNNNNNNNNNNNNNNNNNNNNNNNNNNNNNNNNNNNNNNNNNNNNNNNNNNNNNNNNNNNNNNNNNNNNNNNNNNNNNNNNNNNNNNNNNNNNNNNNNNNNNNNNNNNNNNNNNNNNNNNNNNNNNNNNNNNNNNNNNNNNNNNNNNNNNNNNNNNNNNNNNNNNNNNNNNNNNNNNNNNNNNNNNNNNNNNNNNNNNNNNNNNNNNNNNNNNNNNNNNNNNNNNNNNNNNNNNNNNNNNNNNNNNNNNNNNNNNNNNNNNNNNNNNNNNNNNNNNNNNNNNNNNNNNNNNNNNNNNNNNNNNNNNNNNNNNNNNNNNNNNNNNNNNNNNNNNNNNNNNNNNGAUGAAAUGACCCUUUCACUUGUGGAGGUGGGAACUAAAUUGUUUGCUUGAGGACAAGUAAAGACUUAAGUUUGGUGGAGUUGAUAAGUGGGGAUUUUGACAACUUAUUAGCGCCUUUUACCUUUUGUUUUAGUAUAAAAGAAUUGAAUUGUGUUCCCGAAACUAAUGAAAUAUGCAAAAUUGCAGGAAUGCUGGAAGUUGGACUCCCGAGAUGAAAUCCGGCUGAAAGAGGAGAAGUCCAAGCACAAGACAACAAAAGGGCACAGAAGCAUACAAAGUGCAGUACGCAAAAGCAAUUGCGGAUCGCAUAAUUCCACCUGCGGCCGCAAAUAAAGAAGCGAAAUUCAGUAGAUAUUUGUGUGAAUUGCGGAACGCACAUGAAUUGAGCGGCCGCAAGACCUGGGCUAGGACUCAAGUUCAAAGAGUGUGCAAAUUUCUAAGUCCCAAGUCCCUGUAAAUUGCGGACCGUACAAGAAUUGUGCCGCUAAAGAAGAAGUGCCUUACGACCGAAGACAUAAAUGUGCGGACCUCAGAAUACUGGAUUGCGUCCACAAACAUAAUUUGUGGACCGCAAAAAUGUUGCCUCGCGGCCGCAACGCAGAAUUGUGUGGCCGCGAAAUCCCAGCCCCUGCCAGAUUAAGAAGUCUGCAGACCGCACAUGGAAUUGUACGGCCGCAGAACCUCCCGAGGUGUAUUUUUGUCAGAGAUUUUCAGACUUGUAUAAAUAGAAGAGUUUCACAAAAUUAGGUCAAGUUUUGACAUCAGCAAUUACUGUAGCCAUUUUUCUUUGCCUCUUUUAGAAGUUUACUAUAUUUUGGUGUAUUUUACAAUAGAUUUGAGUAUUUUAAGCUUACAUUAUGAGUUUAAUUAGUCUUUCUUCUUUUUAUUCUUAAUACCCAAGCAUGAGUAGCUAGAUUCUUACUAGGGUUGUGACCCAACCCUAGUGUGUCAACCUUAUGGGUAAUUAAAUUAGUGUUUGUUUAUGAAUGGGUGUUUGUUAUUUAGACUAGUUCAUGCUUUAAUUUGUGGAAUCAAUGGUUGCAAACAUUAGUUCGUGCCUAUUUGACUUAGUCUCUACUUGAGAAAGAGAGACUUAGUCUAGGAAAACUUGGCUAACAAGGAAUUGGGUCAAUCGAGUAAUUGAUUAACCCAAUUAAAGGUUUCAACCUAGAGAUAGUAAUAACCUGACUUGAGCUUUUAUCAACUAUUUUGUGUGAUACCCAUUUGGUCUUAAGAAAGCCAAAUUGGAAAAAAUCACUCUCUAAACGAGAGGUAUUGAGUGGGUAAUUGAGAGUUGAUAGCUAUAACACACCCCGACCAACAAAAUAAGCAUUAAGGUCUUUAUCACAUUAGGCAGACACCUAGGUAAUGGUUACAGCUCUAGGCUUUUAUCAAUUUGGAAAAUUCCCAAAAACAGUUAUCUCUAGUUUUCUAUAUUUAAUUUGCAAUCAAUAGAGUAAAAAUUAGAAAUUGAAAAUCAAUCUUUUGUGGAAGUGAAAUCUUGAUAAUUCAAUCACGCGCAUUAAGAUAUAUACCCCUAACUCCCAUUCUUAGCUCCCUGUGGAUUCGACCCCGACUCUUAGUUGAGUUUUAUUAUUAUAAACGACAGUUUCAUACCCCUUUUGAGGUAUGCUAUUGGACGCGAUCAGCAGUGAGGCUGCUUCAGGAGGCACUUACUCGAACAUGUAUCUCCGGGCCUGUUUUGGGCACAAACACUUCUUUACGGAGUCCCUGGCCGGAGAAAAGAAUAAGAGGGCAAAGAUUGAUGCCUCUGAGUCAUCUCCGGUGGCGAUGGUGAUUGGUCCUCCUUCCGGGUCAGUCAUAGACACUGUGAUGAUUGAUGAUGAUGAAGAAGCUAGUGAUAAGAGAGCUUCUCUACUUAGAAGACAACGAUCCUCAUCAUCUCAACAGGAUGUUCGACCUGUUGAGAGAGUUACACCAACCGAGGACGUUGCCUCGGCACUUUGGAGAGAGUUUGAUUUGGUAGAUAAUGUCAACUCCCAUUUUCGGGCCCUAAUUAUUGUGCCCGGUACUUAAGGGCUGAGUACCUGCUUCUUGCCGUCUUUGGUUGGCAAGCAUCCAACAACCAGUACUGCAUUUGAUGCAACUGCUUCUCAUUCUUCAAUUCCAUCAGCUUCAUCUCCAUCUUUACCAGUACCAGCAACUGCUACAUCAUUUUCAUCUCCAUCCACUCUUCCACCAGCAGUUGCUACAUCGCCUCCACCGGUCGUACCUGACCAUGAAAAGGGUGUUCCUCUUCCACAAUCCCCAGUUCAUGGGAAUUUGGGGCAAAAUUAUGCUGCCCCUUCUGAAGAUCCACAAAGGAGGAGGAGCGUUACUCUUUCGAUAUCUACCGGAUGCAGCUUGUUAUUCCGGUCGAUGGAGCUUGCUAAUUAUCUGAAGCCUUUGGCUUCAGAGAAAGACUGGGAAAAGAUUUAGGCACUCUCAGGAGAAUGUUUGUUGAACAACGCCAUGCACAAUGCCGCAGCGGUAUGUUCCUUUAUUCCUUUGUUAUUUCUUCUACUUUUGUAUCAAUGUAUUCUAAGUUUUACUUAUUCUUAUUUUGUAGGCCAACUUUCUUGCUUUUGAGGUCCUUCAGAGGUUGAUUAGUGAGAAGGAGGAACUUACUUCUGAACGGAAUCAACUUUUGAUGGAACGGGACCAAACUGUUAUCCGCCUCUCGGAACUGGAAACCAAAGCUACUGAGGUCGUUGUUUUUUAUGCUCGUUUACAGCAAAGCGAGCAAGAAGUGGUAACCCUUAGCCAAGAAAUUUUCCCGUUGAGGGUUAGAUUUGAUAAAGCCAAGGCCACAUGGGCUGAAGCUCAUGACGUCGUUCUUGCUGCAACUGAGCGCGAGGAUGCCUCCGCUGAAAGAGUGAUUAACUUAGAGACAACCUUGAACUCUAAAAUUGAAGCGCUUGCUGUUGUGGGAGCGGGGCCAAACACGCCCAGCUAGAAGAGAAGUACAAGAAAACUAUCGAGCAUAAUAGGCUCUUUAGUUCAACUGUCCGCGACCUUGAUGUCAGCCUCAAAUCUACUAGGUCCGCCCGGGAAAACCUUUCUGCCGAGGUAACCCAACUCAAAGAAGAACUCAAGCUCCGAGAAGCUUCCCCUCGUUGUUGAAAAAACUUACGCCAUGUACAGCAUGAGGAGAAAAAUCUUGGAACAGGCCAAAGUUGGUGUCAUUGACUUUGAUGCCGAAAUUGCUAAGGCACGCGAGCUUGAGUUAGCUGCUAAAAGUAAACUCCCAUCGAGGUCUGAUGUACCUGGUCCUUCUGGUUUUGGUUCCGAAUUUUCGGGAACUGAAGAAGAAUCGGAAGAUGAUGAUGCCAAAGGCCAAACUGAUGAAAAUGUUGAGCCACCGGUGGACCCACCUACUUCUCCCGGGGAUGCGGACACUUCACUUCCUCCUGGUUUCGGAGGCACUGCGGUUUAGAUUUUCUUUUCUUUUUCCCAUUUGGUAUUUUACCGUUUUGGCACGUUCUUGUAAAUAAAGACAUAUUUUUGCGCAAGUAUUGUUUGAGUCUUACUUUCAUUUGAAUAUCCAUGCAAGUCUUUAACCUUUGCAUUUGCUUAAGAAUUCUGUGCACGUUUUUCUGUUCGCGCUUUACUAUGUGUAGUCUCGGAUACAUUUUCCUCGAAACACUUUGGUUUCGAGCAUUAUUCCUUUUACGUGAGGGUUUCUAUAAGUAUUUGCGCAAGUUUAUUUUUUGCGUCCUUUUGUGUAUGUCUUUGGGUGCAUUUUUCCUCGAAGGCACUUUGAUUUCGGGCAUAAAUUCUUUCGAUACCAACCCUUUAACGUGAGGGUUUUCAUAAGAGGCUGCUCUCUUAUGUUUAGGGUGCUCUUGAAGAGGACGUCUCCUGUUCAUUACGGCACUAACAUUUGAAGUACUUGUUUAACUUUCAAAUGACAAAGUUAGUUUAUCGUGCAGACAAGUAACAAGAUAAAAAUAAAAGGAUUUCUUUUCAUAUAAUUCCUUCUAUUUUCAAAAGUACACAAGCAUUUAUUAUGCUAAGAAAUUGCCAUUACUUGUGGAUAUCUUUGUACAACUUGUCUAUACGGGGCUGGAUGCGCAGUCCCCGGUCUCGAUGAUGUAUUUGGUUUCCAGAUUUUCAGUUCCUGGUUGGCGUGGCAGUCAAUGUUGUCGUAUCCGCAUAUCAUUACCCCCCUCCCCCUCCCCCCCGCCAGUGUUCGAAUGCGAAGAAUGUGAAUUGGAACACUGGAAGUCUUAUGCCUUCAAAGAUCCCACCAAUGAAUUGCUAGAUAAUCCUUAACUCGGCAACAUACCUUACUUCCCCUUAGGAAUCCAUGCUAUCGAGCGAAAGAAUAUCUAACAAUCCUCUAGCAACUUGUGCUCGUGAACAGUCGGGUAACCUCUAUUCGGUAGCAAACUUAACUUCCCAGUGGGAAUUUGCUAUCGAACCAAAGAUUAUCUAACUGUCCCCGAGUGGAAGAUUAUUUGUUUGCCUUGCUCUCAAAGGACUUAUUGUUGUUGUCUUCGUAGUAUGCUUUCUAUCGCUGCCUCAUUAAAAACCUUGCCAGAAAAACCCAAUUGGGACAAAAACUGAACGAAGGGAAAAAGAGUGCAGCACAUACUUUCUGCUUUAGUAAUGUUUAUCAACAAUAAUAUCUUUUGAGGUGUGCCACGUUCCAGUUGCUAGGCAACUUGUCUCCACUCUGGUUCUCCAACUCGUAUGAACCUUUCCCAUGUUAAAGACCUCCCCACGUUGAACCUAGUUUCCCUGCGUUGAGCUCCCGAGUAUUUUGGGUUACUUUCUUCAUAACCAAAUCUCCUACUUUGAAAUAACGGAGGUUGGCUCUUCGAUUAUAAUAUUGCUCCAUUCUCUGCUUUUGAGUUGCCAUUCUUACACGCGCCAAGUCUCUGAGUUCCUCGAGCAGUUCCAAGUUGACUAACAUUGCUUCAUUGUUCGAUUCUUCAUCUGCCAGAAAAUAUCUCAAAGUGGGUUCGCCCACUUCCACUGGGAUUAGGGCUUCAGCAUCGUACACAAGGGAAAAAGGCAUUUCUCUUGUGCUCGAUUUGGCCGUUGUUCGGUAGGCCCAUAGAACUCCGGGAAAUUCUUUGGGCCAUUUGCCUUUUGCUGCUUCCAACCUUUUCUUGAUGUUUUGAAUAAUCACUUUGUUUGUUAACUCCGCUUAACCGUUUUUGCUCGGAUGAUAAGGAGAAGAUGUGAUCCUCUUUAUCUUCAAAUCUUCGAGGAACUUUGUAACUUUUGCACCGAUAAACUAUGGCCCAUUGUUGUAUUCUAUCUCUUUUGGUAUUCCGAACCUUCAAAUUAUAUUUUUCCACAAAAAAUCCACCACUUUGCGUUCUCUGAUAUUCUGAUAAGGACAUGUUUCUACCCAUUUAGAAAAAUAGUCAGUCAGAAUUAAAAGAAACCUUACCUUUUCGGGAGUCGGUGGCAGUGAUCCAACGAUGUCCAUCCCCCAUUUCAAGAACGGCCAUGGGGACAGAACCGAAUAUAAGAAUUCUACCGAUUGGUGUACUAGUGGUGCGUGGCAUUAGCACUUAUCACAUUUUUGUACGAAGUCUUUGGCGUCUUGUUCCAUGCGAAGCCAGUAAUAUCCUACCCGUACCAACUUCAGCACCAAAGAAUAUGCGCCCAAGUGAUUGUCGCAUAUCCAUUCGUGGACUUCUCUCAUGACAUAAUUAGCUUCUGAUGCUUAUAAGCACCGGGCCAGCGGGCCUUGGAAGGAUUUUCUAUACAAUUGGCCUCUCCUGAAGCUAUAACAUGCAGCUUUGACGUGUAACGCUCGUGAUGCUUUGGGGUCUUCGGGUAAAUUCCCAUGCUCGAGAUAGUCGUUUAUUUCAUUUCUCCAAUCGCAGACCAGACUAGUCGAAUUUACCUCACAGUAAGCAUUUGUAUCCAGGACUGAGUUCAUUAGUUGCAUUACCAUCCCGAACUCUGAUCCCUUUAUUUCCGUCGACGAUCCUAAUUUUUCUAAUGUAUCCACUUCUGCGUUAUCCUCCCUCAUGAUAUGAGUAAUUGACCAUUCCCAGAAUCGUGCCAAAAAAAGCCUGGACCUUUACCACGUAUUGUUGCAUACGUUCUUCUUUGGUAUCAAAGAUCCUAUAGACCUGAUUUACCACCAGCUGCGAGUCACAUUUGAUUUCAAUAACCUCGGAAACAAGUCCUCGGGCUAAUUCGAGCCCUGCAAUCAAAGCUUCGUAUUCUGCUUCAUUGUUAGUUAAAGGGAUCGUUUUGAUGGCUUGCCUUAAGGUUUCCCCCGAAGGCGUGAUUAAGACUAUUCUGAGUUCGAACUCUUUUACGUUGGAAGCUCUAUCCCUAAAUAAGGUCCAAACCCCCGAUGUCGAUUCUGACACCAUUACUGCCUUCUUGGUUGCCAGAGGCAGAAGUGCUGGACUGAAAUCGGCCACGAAGUCAGCUAAGACUUGUGACUUAAUUGCAAUCCUUGGUUUAUAUUCUAUGUCGAACUCACUCAUUUCGACGGCCCAUUUGUCCAAUAUACCCGAGAUCUGGGGUUUAUAGAGGAUGUUCCGCAAAGGAAAAGUAGCCACCACAGCUAUCGGGUGACAUUGAAAAUAGGGCCUCAACUUCCGAGUAGCGACUACGAGAGCUAAGGCUAGUUUUUACAAAUGUGGGUAGCGAGUUUUUGCUCUCGUUAAAAUUUUGCUAAUAUAACAAAUGGGAAAUUGCGUACCUUCAUCCUCUCGGACUAAAACUGCACUUACCGCAACUUCUGAAACUGCGAGGUAGACUAGCAAUCUUUCACCUUCUUUUGGUUUUGAGAGCAAUGGAGGGCUUGAUAAGUACUUCUCCAGGCCCCUUAGAUCCUGUUGGCACUCCGGUGUCCAUUCAAAAUUAUUUUUAUUUUUGAGCAGUGUGAAGAAGCGAUGACAUUUUUCCGACGACCGGGAAAUGAACCUGCUCAAAGCUGCUAAUCUUCUUGUGAGCAUUUGGACUUCUUUUACGUUCGACAACUGAUCCGGGAUAUCCUCUAUGGCCUUGAUUUUGUCGGGGUUCACCUCAAUUCCUCUUUGUGAGACCAGAAAUCCCAGAAACUUACAAGAACUGACCCCGAAUGCGCACUUCUCGGGAUUAAGUUUCAUGUUAUGCUUCCUCAGGAUGUAGAAUGUUUCUUGCAAAUGCUUAAGGUGGUUACCUGCAUUCAAAGACUUAACGAGCAUAUCGUCUAUAUAAACUUCCAUAUUCUUUCCUAUUUGCUUUUUAAACAUCUUAUUUACGAGCCGUUGAUAAGUGGCUCCGGCGUUUUUCAACCAGAAGGGCAUCACAUUGUAACAAUAUGUACCGAAAUUCGUUAUAAACGAAGUCUUUUCCUGAUAUUCCGGGUUCAUCUUGAUUUGGUUGUACCCGGAAUAAGCAUCGAGGAAACUCAUUAACUCAUGCAUGGCCGUGGCAUCAAUCAUUUGAUUGAUAUUUGACAGUGAGACCGAGUCUUUCGGGCACGCCUUAUUAAUGUCUUUAUAGUCUACACACAUGCAAAAUUUAUUGUUCUUCUUCGGAACUACUACUACAUUGGCUAGCCAGUCCGGAUAUCUUACCUCUCGGAUCGAACCGAUGUUAAGCAAGCAGGUUAUCUCUUCUUUGACGAAUGUAUUCCUGGCCUCAGCAAUAGGGCGUUUCUUUUGUCUUACUGGAGGUACGUUGGGAUCCAAACUCAGCUUGUGCACGGCUACUUCCGUCGGGAUACAUGUCAUAUCCUCGUGCGACCAUGCAAAACAAUCGGUAUUAAAUUUAAGGAAUUCAAUAAAACCAUACCUGAGCUCCGGGUGCAGUCAUGUCCCCAAAUGGAAUUUUCUUUCUAGGAAUUCUUCGAACAAUGCAACUUGCUCCAGUUCCUCCAUCGUGGACUUCGUUGUGUCCGUCUCUUAUGGAACUUGGAAAUAUCUCGGCACCUAAUAAUGUUCUGGCAACUCUGCUCCCGAGCUAACUUCUUCUAGCUCGGGAAUAGGUGUAGGUUCCUGUAAUUGCUAUGCCGUGUUCUCCUUCCCUUUGCUACUGGAAACAGAAAUUGCAUUCAUCUCUUUUGUUGCCGGUUGAUCACCUCUUAUCUGCUUGAUUCCUUCGGGCGUUGGAAACUUCAGCAAUUGGUGAUAUGUUGAGGGUACAGCUUCCAUCUCGUGUAACCAUGGCCUUCCUAGGAUGAUAUUGUAUCCCAUGUCACCGUCUAAUACUUCGAAAAGAGUUGUUUUCAUUACUCCUUCAGCAUUCGUGAGCAGCAAAAUCUUUCUUCUGGUCGUUACGCUCGCAAGGUUGAAUCUAGCGAGGAGCUUUGUUGCCGGAAUAAUGCUUCAGGUAAGUUUAGCUUGCUCCAAUACUCUCCAUUGUAUGAUAUUAGCCAAACUUCCUAGAUCCACUAGAACACGCUUAAUCUUAAAAUCCAACACAUUUAAAGAAAUUACCAGUGCAUCGUUGUGUGCUAACAGCAAUCCGUCUGUGUCCACCUCCGUGAAAGUGAUAUAGUCUUCCCGGAGUCUUUUACUAUAAGUUAUUGAUACUUUUGUCUUCUUCGCUGCCGAAAAGGUGACCCCGUUAAUCUCAUUCCCUCCGUAGAUCAUAUUGAUCGUUUGGUGUGAGGGUUCUUCUCUAGCUUUUGAAGGUUCCACGUUAUCUCUGUUAAGACCAUAAUUGUUCUUAACUCGGUCACUCAAGAAUCCUUCGAGGUGACCAUUAUUCAAUAGUGUUUCCACCUCUUCCCGGAGGUGUCGGCGAUCCCCUAUUCGGUGGCCAUUCGUCCCAUGGUAUUCACACCAUAAGUUGGGAUCCAUCUGGCUAGAAUCGGAUCUCAUAGGUCUCGGGAAUCGCGCUUCUUUGAUGUUUCUCAUGGCUGACACCAACUCCAUUAUACUGACGUUGAAGUUAUAUUCCGAUAACUUGGGGUAAGAAGGAUACCGAGACCCCGAUGUCUCUUUAUCCUGAAGUGAUCUGUUGUUUUGACCACGAUCGGUCCCUCUAUCAACGGUGAACUUGUUUGUUGCCUAGAAGUUUUUUCCACGGCCUUCGGUCCGCUCGUAAGGCAAAAACCGACCCCUUGAAGUCCAUUUGUCUGCAUCGUAGUCAUCCUUUGAUUUUUAUCUACUCUUCUCCCGUCCCUUGGCCGAUGAUGUAGAACCGACCUGGUCAUCUUCGAUCCUUAUCUUUGACUCGUACCGGUUGUGGACAUCUGCCCAAGUUGUUGCUUGAAACUCAAGCAGGCUCUCCUUCAGUUUUCGGGAAGCGUCUGAGCUUCUCGGAUUCAAUCCUUUGGUGAAUGUUUCAGCUACCUAUUCAUCCGGGACAGCCGAGUGCAACAUUCUUUCUUUCUGGAAUCGGGUAACGAACUCUCGUAAUAAUUCGGGUUCUCCCUGUGUGUUCCUGAAUAUGUCGGCCUUUCGGGCUUGUACUUUUCUAGGCCCGGCAUAAGCAUUGAUGAAAGAAUCCGCGAGCAUCUCAAAGGAAUCUAUGGAAUGCUCGGGUAAUAAUGAAUACCACGUUAGAUCUCCCCUCAUGAGAGUUUCUCCAAAUUUCUUCAACAACACACAUUCAAUUUCGUGAGGAGCUAAAUCAUUUCCUUUUAUCGCCGUUAUGUAGGUAGUAAUAUGCUCCUGUGGGUUUGAAGUCCCGUCAUACUUUGGCAUUUCAGGUAUUUUGAACCGCUUUGGGACUAGUUCUGGUGUCGCACUCGGCUUGUACGGCAAUUAAGUAUACUUCUUCAAGUCUGGGCCUCAAUACUGGUGAUGUGCCCGGGAUCUGUUCCAUGUGGGUGUUUACUUCCCUCAUAAACUGUAAAAGUUCAUUCUUGAACGGGUCGUUCUCGUUGUUGAGAUUGGGUCUGUUCCCCCAGCCCCGUCAGAGCCAACUUCACCUCUGGGAGUGUUGUUGUCGACUCUCUGCGUUGUUUGGUUUGCGGGAACACCGGGAGGAAUUGGAUCUCGUCUGUUUGCAUUAUUUGAAGCCCCCGAUAGCGCCUGCUUCAGCUCCGUCAUAACCUUAUCCUGCCACGUGGGAUGAACUAGAAUGAUUGUCGGUUGCUCUUGCAGGACCCUCACCGCAUCCACGACAUGUUCCUCAUCAGCAUCAUCGGGAGUUGUCUCCUGAACCUAUCGAGGGUUCUGCCUGUCAUGCACCGGGUGGCAUCAUUUCCCUCAUUGCGGGUGUCACUAAUUGAAUCCUCGAAAUGAGGUUGAUCCCCUCAAAUUUCAGGGUUGAACAUGUUGUUAAUAGAGUUAUCUGCCAUUUUGUGAUUUUUUCUAAGACAAAACAAUCAAAUCACGCUAGUAAAAAAGACAAGGAUCAAUUUAAUUGCACGGUUCUCUAGGUCCCACGGUGGGUGCCAAACUGUUUACCCGUAAAACAGUACAGUUGAAUUUAUACGUGGUUUCUAGAUGACAAUAUCUUUCCUUCUCAAUAGAUGAAACAACAGAGAUGACGAUAUCUUUCCUUCUCAAUAUUGUGGUGCAAGUGACGUUUCAAACUCUCAAGGACUUGAAAAAAAAACAUCAAAUGAUAAUCAUAAAGUCGAUUCAACCUUCUAGCAAUUGUUUCGAGCCAUGAACUGUGAAAAUUACCUAAGUUAAAAUAUCACUCUGAUUAAUUACAUAAGUAGUUUAUUUGCAUCCAAUUUACUAUUGAAGAAGAAAAGUAAAUUUUAAAUUAAUUAGAUAAGUCGUAAUUGACAAUACAUCAACCUUUAUAGAUGAAUACAAAGAACAGAGAAUGUAAUUCUUGUUGGAAGUAAGAAUUUUGAACUAAAAAAAGUUCUCCAUAUCUCCUAUCCUGCUAGAAUUUUCCAGUCCGAUUUCCAGUAACCGCGCCUUACCCUGUUUCCAUGUGUAGGGACGGCACCACAUAAUGGUUGUGUGUACACGGCAUACACACACCACUAGAUACGGACAUUUGAUAGGGGAGAAAACAUACUUGUUGCAUAGUUGCAUAACGUUAAAAGUGUGUCUCAACGUACCAUUCCCGAAUGCACUAAUGAGAAAUUUUCUUUAAACAUGUAGUUAAGAGUAAUAAUGAUGCAGUUAAGAGUAAGGUUUGUAGUGAAAAUAUCACUGACGCAAAUUCUUAAGACAUUUUUACAGAGCAGAAAACCCAUGCUCGAUAUUGGCAUGUGUACCUAAAAGUAAAUGGCUUAAGCUCACGAGUGCAAACAUGGAAUGGAAAAAGGAAAGAUUUGGUGCAUGCCACACUCAAAGCUGAUUAUAUAUCAAAUUGCCCGUGAUUCACUGGAUCAAACUACAAAUGCAACAGAAACCAACUUCUGAUGGCAUUUCGAAGAUACAAGUUAAAUCAGGGGUAUGUUCAUUCGAAUCAUCACAACCAAUAGGCAACCCAAUUUCUUUCUCCAGAUAUUCAAUUGCAUGAAGCUGAAAAUAAGUGAACAAGGAAACAAUACCAAGAUGAACAGAAUAGAGCUCUAUUAAAUUCACAGCUGAAACUAAACACACCAGAAAUCAACUUAGAGUGCAUUUGAAACCAAAAGGGAGAAAUUACUUCUACCAAAGGUAAUGGAAGGUGGAUGAAUCCAGCUUAGAAGUACACCCACUGCCUCAAACUUCAAUACGAUAUAUUACUACUCAAACUAAAUUAAGUUUUACUAAUAUGAAUCCUUCGCGUUCAUUCUGCUACAUCUGGACUCCUUUCAUUAACUACUCAAUAAUCUGUCCUUGGAUUUCUAAAAUUCGGGAUUCUCUAAGUAUCCCAUGUAUCCUCCAUCGUCCAAUCUAUAACCAAGUUUAAAACACUCCUGAUAAAUACCAGGGCCUAAUGUAAGUGUGCCAAUAACAAUUAACCUUAAUCCAAGUUAGUUCCUUUUGACAACAAGGAUACUUUGAUUACUGUUCCAUACUUACAAAGCAUAGCCUGUUUGGCCAAACUUCUAAAAUUAGUUUAUUUUGAGAAGUGUUUUUUUCAAAAGUACUUUUCAAAAAAUUAUUUUUGAUGAGAAGCAGUUUGUGUUUGGCUAAUUAAUUUGAAAAUCACUUUUGAACAGUAAUUAAUUUUUGACCAAGCUUUUGAAAACUACUUUUAAGUGUAUUUUUCUCAAAAGUAUUUAUCAGAAAAGUAUUUUUGGAGAGUGCUAUUUUUUUCUGUUUCUCAAAAACUGCUGGUUCUCAAAAAAGGCACUUUUUUCUAUCUAAAAGUUUUGGCCAGACAAUUUAUUUUUGGCCAAAAGUACUUUUGACCAAAAAAAAUUAAAACACUUUUGCCCAAAAAAAAAAAAACUUGGCCAAACAAACUAUUAAUGUGUAUGGAUUGAAAGAAAUUGUUCCAUGUAACUUUAAGACUACAUGUAUUAAUAAUAUACAUGUAUUUAUGCAUCAAAACUUCUAGAGAUGACUGUAUAUAGUAUACAUUAACAUGUGUAUCCACAGUCCACUAUACAGAUUCCUUUCUACAGUCGCAUGCUAAUCAAUAGAAAAUCCAUACACUCCCAGAUUAUACGCAGAGACAAAUUUUACAGAGCUGAAUAUCCAAAUGCAUUACUAAAUGAAUCUUAAUCAUUCCACUUAAGUAAAAAACAUUAUCCCAUUCCAAUGGUUUCAGUACUGAAACCUGCUGAAAUAACAACUGGCCAGAAAAUUAAAACUACAAUAUACCGAAGAACAUAUCCCAAAGUAUAAAAUACGCUCAUCCAAAGCACAAGAGAAGGCUCCUUAACCUCAAUUACUGUAAACAUUUAAAACGAAAUUAAGAGUUUUCUAGACUUACAAACCAUCUCACUCGGAACGAUUAGCAUACCUCUCCACCUUAUCAUCAAGAUUAAUUCCAACCAUNNNNNNNNNNNNNNNNNNNNNNNNNNNNNNNNNNNNNNNNNNNNNNNNNNNNNNNNNNNNNNNNNNNNNNNNNNNNNNNNNNNNNNNNNNNNNNNNNNNNNNNNNNNNNNNNNNN
rnacentral:lncRNA from 1 species